UCUCUUUAAUAUUCUUUAUUUUUCUUCCGUGAUCGUUAAUGCGGCUCGUACCGCUGCGUGCCCAGCCACAAAUGAAGUAUCAAAACGUGUGGAAAAUUCACGACAUUGAAGCUUUUACUUGUGGUGGGAUUCGGGGUUACCAUGGCGACAUAAUUUGCAAAAAACCCCAUGAUAAGUCAAUGGAGCGAGGAAAGAAAAAUCCUAAAAAUACCCUAUUUUUGAGGAUUUUCUGUGUCAUCAUGAAUUCACGUAGAAAUGCCAUUCAAAUUUCAUUUUGUAGAUACGGCCGUGAUCUCUUCUAAAGUGAAGACAGCUCGUCCAUACCAAUUACGGUUUGUCCACAAUUUCUGUCUAAGCGACCCAAAGUUUUUGAUUUUUCAAAAAAUUAGAGUGACACCAGAGCUCGGUUCUUAUCUGU